CGGCGCCGCUCCGUCCUCCCCAAGGAGAGGAGCGGGGCCCUCGAUUGCCGGGCUGCUUUCCUGCGCUGCCUGGUGGGGUCGGGCGAGGCUGCUCCCCGGAGGCCUCCGGUGCCUGGCCCAGGAGGAGCCCGAAGCCGCCCGCCUCCUCUUCGGCGCCCUUUUGCCACCGGCCCUCCGCCCGGGAAGGAACCCCGGAGCUGGAGCAGGAUCCCUUGGAGGAAGAGAGCGAAGAGCGGCUGUGGAACAUGGGUCCCGGAGUGGGAAGCUUCCCGGGAGUGAGGACCAUGAGCCUCCAGAAGCUGUGGGGGCUCCACCCCUGGAGGGGCUGGACGGCCGCCUGCCCGGAGUGGUCCUGGGGUCUCCUGCUGGAGCGAGGGGGGGAGGGUUGGGCUAGAAGACCUCCAGGGUCCCUUCCAGCUCUAUCCUGAAUUGGAGAAUUGGAUCCUGUUGCAGCCCUGCGGGAAAGGGGUGCAAAAGCCCUGGGCACCGGCUGCUCUUUCAUAAUAGGAGCCACAACCGUGCCGAUACCUAUUUGUGCAGCAUCACAAGCUGACUUUUCUGGUGGAGUUUCCUUCUGAUGAACGCAACAAGAUCUUGCAGAUGCUGCUGAAAAGAACCAUGGUUGCCAAUCUCUUCACUUCUUUGGGCUGCUGUAUAAGAGUUUCAGAGAUCCUGGAACAGAGGGGAACUGCCAGAGG